CUCCCUGAUGCCAAGCUCUACCUGUGCCGCCGCCCUCCCCUUCAACUUCAAGCUCCGGCACGGCCCUCAGCAUCCACUCCAAGUCCACCCCAUUCCUUCCCGCAGCAGGUCGACCCGCCGGCGCAGGCUUCCCCCACCGCCGUCCUUCGCUUCGACCUCCGGCAACAACGCCAUGGACUCAAAUCGAACCGACGCCUCCUCGCCUCCUCUCCUGCAGCGCCCCACGGAGGAGGAGACCUGGUGGUGGCGGACCGAGCCGUGGAACUCCAUGGGCUGACCUGGUGCCUCGCCGUCGGGGACGACCUGGGUGACGCGACCGUUCCUCUUGCCGGCGGGAGCGGCGCAGGAAUGGCGACAGGAGGCCGAUGGUCACCUUCCUGAGGUGCUGAUGCCGACGCUUGCCAAGAACCCGAACUGCUGCUCCUCAGGCCGACCACCACUUCGUCCGCUGCUUCCCCAAACAGGUGUUGCUCCUGAUGCGGGCUGCUGCUGGUGUCGCCGAAGAGGAUGCCAGCGUCCUCGUGUCAUGUUGCUUGAUGGCAACUACAGCGACGAGAGGGAGCAUGGCAGCAACGUGUGGUGACGAAGAGGAAGAUGGAUGAUAAAUUGGGUGAGAGGUGUGUGCCGGAUUAGCGGAUGGGCACUUCUCGUAAGCAAUGGCCUGGAAGAGGGCUCGGUACGCGAACACGACGAAUGGAGAACCCUUGUAGAAAACGUUGAAUGACAUCAACACCGAUCUCCCUAAGCUCCUUGUGGUGGUCUUCCGGGAGCAAAAGUAGGUGUCUUCCGGGAGAUGGUGGAGGGACAACUGGACCGUGAUGCUUGUUUAGUUCAAGCCUUCCACCAGGGUUUGGCUCUCCGAUGUAGCUCCUUGAGGAUGCACCUGAAACUCUCUACUUCGCAUGUGCCGCAGCAGGCAUGUCCUGCUGGGGGUAGAUUUAUGCAUAUAGAAGAGAGGUACUCAUAAGAUGGUGGAGGAGGCAAGCUACAUAUAGAAGAGAGAUUGGUGGAGCUAGUGAAGUUUAAGUUGGUGAGAAAAAAGAUAGGGUCACAAAUGCUCGAAAUGCUGGAAGAGCUGUUGUUAAGGAGGGUAUUGUCCUAGGCUGAUGACCAAAGCUGCAAAUGAUGGUGUUGAUGGUCGGUUCCUCUCUGAGUUUGAUCAGUUUUGAGACACGCGAUGGUCUUUGUUAUCAAAUAGCUUGUCUUCUCGAACAGUGGGAUUCGAGGUCAUCAAUGUGUGUGACGAGUUCAUCAUGCCGCAACAGUGGUGGUGAUGAUGCUCGGCCUCGUCUACAACUUCUCCAGUGAGCUACUAGUUUACCCUUUCGAUCUCUGGUUCGCAUCUGCUCUGUGAUGACCUGUAUUUGAAUUAUGGUGAUGAUGAUCAAUGGCCACCUAUUUUCUAAGUGAAGAUGUCAACAUCUGGGCAUGGUUAUUGUCCCGGUGCUUGUAUUUUCUAUUGAUAGAUGAUUUUGUGUUGUAGGCCUGAAAAUGCUGCCAUUUAGUUGUGAAUAAUACUGUUUGGUAUUGUGUGGUUUUGAUAUUUGAUUGAUUUAGAUCACUGUAUAAUUGGUUUGCUGCAACUAUAUAUCUUGCUUUUCAGAUAAGAAUCUUGUUGUAGAUAUAAUGUGUUCUUGUCCCUUCCUUAAUCCGCAAUGAUUUUGUAUCUUGAACAACAGUAUCUAUCUGCAACUUAUAAGUUGAGAAACUGAUUUGGCUUGCUAUAUCUGUUUGGUUUUCCGUUUUGUUGCCUAUUUUUUAAUGUGACUUUACUGUGUAAUGCAUGAGGAAACAUUUAGCUUGGAACAACCUGAUCUACCAUUGUCCCUGGAUACAAUUGAUUCCUCAUAUACGAGUUCUGUAGUUAUUGCGACUGUACUUGGCUGAUGUGCUCAUCCCUUGUUCUGGCACUGUUUGAUUUUAUUCCUAGUUCUCCUUGAUUCUUGGA